UUCACGAUGAGAUUGAAAACCUCUUGCAUAACAUCGUGACAGAAGAUCUCCAGCAAGUUGAGGAUCAAUUACUUUUUCGCUUCAAAAUGAGACCAUAUCACUUUUACCUUUAGUUGUUUCAUUGUACUAUCUAAGAGGACUGAUAUUAUACCAGUACGGCUGUGCGUGGUAGUAGGUGCUAGUUACUGUUGCAAUCCUUUAUUCGGGCCUGCAGAUAAUCAGGCCGAGGAGGGACUAACGGCGAUAGCAAUGGCGCGGCAGCAUGCAUUCUAUUAUACCACGACUUCUAAUCAUUAAUUCGCCUUGAAAGAAAUGACUGCCCUCUGGAUUAUCCAGGCAUCAUCAUCAUUCAACAUGCCGAUGUCUUCCACGGUUCCACCCGCUGUGAGGUAUGAGCUAACUCUUCGUCCUCAUAUCGCACACAUACCGCCAUGUUCUACCAACGAACCUGCAAGAGCACUUUCCAAGGCCGUCGGUAAAUUGUUAGGUGACGGAAAAGCCAUGGAAUUUAGGCAAAGGACAUUGGACGGAAUUGAAAGACAUUAUAACAGGCAGGGGUCAGAAGAUUGGGCGAGAUGUUGCUACGGAGCGGAUAUGGAAGGAGAUAAGUCUGGAAACUGAGGAAAAGAACAUGUAUAAUCCAGUAAAGAUGUUUGACUUCUUGAUAAUAA
rnacentral:sRNA from 1 species